rnacentral:rRNA from 1 species
AGGACGAACGCUGGCGGCGUGCUUAACACAUGCAAGUCGAGCGGAAAGGCCCUUCGGGGUACUCGAGCGGCGAACGGGUGAGUAACACGUGAGUAAUCUGCCCUUAGCUCUGGGAUAGCUCCGGGAAAACCGGGAUUAAUACCAGAUACGACCACUUUAGACAUCUGCCGUGGUGGAAAGAAUUUCGGCUAAGGAUGAGCUCGCGGCCUAUCAGCUUGUUGGUGGGGUAACGGCCUACCAAGGCGACGACGGGUAGCCGGCCUGAGAGGGCGACCGGCCACACUGGGACUGAGACACGGCCCAGACUCCUACGGGAGGCAGCAGUGGGGAAUAUUGCGCAAUGGGCGAAAGCCUGACGCAGCGACGCCGCGUGGGGGAUGAAGGCCUUCGGGUUGUAACCCCUUUCAGCAGGGACGAAGCGAAAGUGACGGUACCUGCAGAAGAAGCGCCGGCUAACUACGCGCCAGCAGCCGC